UACAGAGGUCUCAAGCGUUGUUCGGAUUCAUUGGGCGUAAAGGGUGUGUAGGUGGCGCUGUAAGUCGGGUGUGAAAUUUCGGAGCUUAACUCCGAAACUGCAUUCGAUACUGCGGUGCUUGAGGACUGGAGAGGAGACUGGAAUUCAUGGUGUAGCAGUGAAAUGCGUAGAGAUCAUGAGGAAGACCAGUGGCGAAGGCGGGUCUCUGGGCCGAUACUGACGCUGAGGAGCGAAAGCGUGGGGAGCGAACAGG
rnacentral:rRNA from 1 species